UACGAGGGGGGCAAGCGUUGUUCGGAAUUAUUGGGCGUAAAGAGCUCGUAGGCGGUUUGUUGCGUCGGCUGUGAAAUCCCGAGGCUCAACCUCGGGUCUGCAGUCGAUACGAGCAAACUAGAGUGUUGCAGGGGAGACUGGAAUUCCUGGUGCAGCGGUGAAAUGCGCAGAUAUCAGGAGGAACACCGGUGGCGAAGGCGGGUCUCUGGGCAACAACUGACGCUGAGGAGCGAAAGCGUGGGGAGCGAACAGG
rnacentral:rRNA from 1 species